rnacentral:rRNA from 1 species
UUUCGGAUCGUAAAGCUCUGUUGUAAGAGAAGAACGAGUGUGAGAGUGGAAAGUUCACACUGUGACGGUAUCUUACCAGAAAGGGACGGCUAACUACGUGCCAGCAGCCGCGGUAAUACGUAGGUCCCGAGCGUUGUCCGGAUUUAUUGGGCGUAAAGCGAGCGCAGGCGGUUAGAUAAGUCUGAAGUUAAAGGCUGUGGCUUAACCAUAGUACGCUUUGGAAACUGUUUAACUUGAGUGCAAGAGGGGAGAGUGGAAUUCCAUGUGUAGCGGUGAAAUGCGUAGAUAUAUGGAGGAACACCGGUGGCGAAAGCGGCUCUCUGGCUUGUAACUGACGCUGAGGCUCGAAAGCGUGGGGAGCAAACAGGAUUAGAUACCCUGGUAGUCCACGCCGUAAACGAUGAGUGCUAGGUGUUAGACCCUUUCCGGGGUUUAGUGCCGCAGCUAACGCAUUAAGCACUCCGCCUGGGGAGUACGACCGCAAGGUUGAAACUCAAAGG